UAAACCGGUCGUAUCUCCAAAAGAGAUAUGAAAGGAGGUGAUGGUUUUGAGUUACCUUUUCGAGCUCUUACUUAGUGUCCUGGCAAAUGUAUUGGCCUAUUUCAUUUGCAAAUGGCUAGACGCUAAGGACAAAAGCGAUAGCUAGCCUGUAAACACCCGUUAAAUCUAAUUAGAUACGUCAAAAAAUCCCAAGAGAACGGCCAUUCUCUUGGGAUUUGGUGUAGUUUUAAG
rnacentral:sRNA from 20 species